rnacentral:rRNA from 1 species
AUUGAACGCUGGCGGCAGGCCUAACACAUGCAAGUCGAGCGGAUGAAGGGAGCUUUCUCCUGUAUUCAGCGGCGGACGGGUGAGUAAUGCCUAGGAAUCUGCCUGGUAGUGGGGGAUAACGUCCGGAAACGGGCGCUAAUACCGCAUACGUCCUGAUGUAGAAAGUGGGGGAUCUUCGGACCUCACGCUAUCAGAUGAGCCUAGGUCGGAUUAGCUAGUUGGUGGGGUAAAGGCCUACCAAGGCGACGAUCCGUAACUGGUCUGAGAGGAUGAUCAGUCACACUGGAACUGAGACACGGUCCAGACUCCUACGGGAGGCAGCAGUGGGGAAUAUUGGACAAUGGGCGAAAGCCUGAUCCAGCCAUGCCGCGUGUGUGAAGAAGGUCUUCGGAUUGUAAAGCACUGUAAGUUGGGAGGAAGGGCAGUAAGUUAAUACCUUGAUGUUUUGACGUUACCAACAGAAUAAGCACCGGCUAACUUCGUG